rnacentral:rRNA from 1 species
UACGGGGGGAGCAAGCGUUGUUCGGAUUUACUGGGCGUAAAGGGCGCGUAGGCGGCCAGCACAAGUCAGUUGUGAAAUCUCCGAGCUUAACUCGGAAAGGUCAACUGAUACUGUGCGGCUAGAGUGCGGAAGGGGCGACUGGAAUUCUUGGUGUAGCGGUGAAAUGCGUAGAUAUCAAGAGGAACACCUGCGGCGAAGGCGGGUUGCUGGGCCGACACUGACGCUGAUGCGCGAAAGCGAGGGGAGCGAACGGG